rnacentral:rRNA from 1 species
UACAGAGGGCCCAAGCGUUGUUCGGAUUCACUGGGCGUAAAGGGUGCGUAGGUGGUCGGGUAAGUCUGAUGUGAAAGCUCUGGGCUCAACCCAGAAAUGGCAUUGGAUACUAUCUGGCUAGAGGAAUGGAGGGGGGACUGGAAUACUUGGUGUAGCAGUGAAAUGCGUAGAUAUCAAGUGGAACACCAGUGGCGAAGGCGAGUCCCUGGACAUUUCCUGACACUGAGGCACGAAAGCUAGGGGAGCAAACAGG